CAGGUAUAGAACUAUUGAAUGGUACAGUUUGAGAUCUUCGAAACCAUCAGGACUGAUCAUUUUCUGGCUACUUUCUACAUAGGAAUCCUAGAGUUCCUUGGAGAGGAUAUGAAGGUUAUUCUCAGGCCAUGCAGAUGGGCAAGAAAGGAUGUGCGUCCAUGGUUCCUCUUCAAAUCCAACCAAAACAGCCUUGCUUCCGUUGGCUUUAUAUAAUACUGCAACUCUUGAUAAUCUGAUUUAACACAAAUUUCCUCAUUGAGUUUCUCCUCAUGAAGAAACGGCCUCAGUGAGGUAAAUCGGAAUGCACAGGAGCACAUAGCAGGCUGGAGUGUAGUGGUAUGAUCACAGCUCACUGCAGCCUCGAACUCCUGGACUCAAACAAUCCUCCUGUCUCAGCCUCCAGAGCAACUGGGAGUACAGGUGUGUGCCACCAUGCCUGACUAAGUUUUUAAAUUUUUUGUAGAGAUGGGGUCUUGCUAUAUUGACCAGGCUGGUCUUGAACUUCUGGCCUCAAGAAAUCCUCCCACCUGGGCCUCCCAGAGUGCUGGGAUUACAGGAAUGCACCACUGUGCCCAGCCCUAAAUAACUAUUUUUAUUUCCCUUUCUGUAACCGCUCAUCUUUUGUGCAUUUUUCCUUGGGUAUUGGCCUUCUUAUCAAAGUUUAAGAACUGUUUAUAUAUAGGGAUUAACCCUUAGUCUGUUGUAUGAAUUGCAAAUAUACAUGUAUUUUUAUUUGUAUAUGCAAAGUUUGUCUUUUAUCUUUGUAUAUGGGAUAGUUUUCCAAACACAGUUUUAUUUUAUUUUAUUUUUCAUCUUGCAUGUCUUUCCAAAGUACCAAGCAGAGUUUUUUUAAAAGUUGUUUUAUGGCUUCUGGGUUUUUUAAGUCAUAUUUAGAAAGAUCUUUCCCACUCUGAAAUUAAAAAAAUAAAUAAAUAAAAUCUCCCAA
rnacentral:lncRNA from 1 species